rnacentral:tRNA from 1 species
GACUUAAAAUCCGUCGAAUUGAAAAAUCGUGAGGGUUCA